GUUAGUGUAGCAAACCCUGGCUUUGCAGGAGGCCUAAGCCCUUCCCACAGGGGUUCAAAUCCCCUCUCUAACU
rnacentral:tRNA from 1 species